ACGAGUUAGGGUCUCUUCGGCCCGACCUCCCAACCCUAUGUUUACUGAACUCCUGUUGCUUCGGCGGGCCCGUCUCACGACCGUCGGAGGAGUCGCCGCGAGGCGCCCUCUGACCAGCGCCCGCCGACGGCCAACCCAUGUCAAAACUCUGUAUAAAUCGUGUCAUGAUGUCUAAGUCUUUAUGAUUCAAUUUAAAACGCA
rnacentral:misc_RNA from 1 species